GAUGAAGAACGCAGCGAAAUGCGAUAAGUAAUGUGAAUUGCAGAAUUCAGUGAAUCAUCGAAUCUUUGAACGCACAUUGCGCCCAUUAGUAUUCUAGUGGGCAUGACUGUUCGAGCGUCAUUAAGUCCACUUAAGCCCUGCUUAGUGUUGGGAGACUGCUCCAGCGGUGCUACCCUGUAGCUACCCUGCAGCUCCUCAAAGACAGCGGCGGAGUUGUGGUAUCCUCUGAGCUUAGUAACUUGUUCUAGCUUUCGAGUACACCACUUCCCCUGCCGUAAAACCCUUAAUUUUUAAUGGUUGACCUCGGAUCAGGUAGGAAUACCCGCUGAACUUAAGCAUAUCAAUAAGCGGAGGA
rnacentral:misc_RNA from 1 species